AUCUAUGGCCAUACCACCCUGAACACACCCCAUCUUGUCUGAUCUUGGAAGCUAAGCAGGGUCAGGCCUGGUUAGUACUUGGAUGGAAGACAACCUGGGAAUACCGGGUACUGUAGGCU
rnacentral:rRNA from 1 species